UAAAGGUCACACCAGAUGGGAAAAUCUCAAUGAAGGGGGAGAAGGAGGAGAGGGAAAAAGGCUUUCUGAAGGAAACUAAAUUUGCAUUCAAUGGGAGGUUGAAAUAAAGAUCCACCUCAUUGAAAUUCAGGACUUGCAUCCAACACACAAGUACCCACAGUCCUUUUGGGUUUUUAACAUGAAAGGAAAUCACGCCGUACCAGG